rnacentral:rRNA from 1 species
ACACUGUUCAUGGGUUACCGCGGCUGCUGGCACGGAGUUAGCCGGUGCUUCUUCUGUGAGUGAUGUCCUUCCUGCCGGUUAUUGACCCGCAGGCCUUCUUCCUCACUGAAAGUGCUUUACAACCCGAAGGCCUUCUUCACACACGCGGCAUGGCUGGAUCAGGGUUGCCCCCAUUGUCCAAUAUUCCCCACUGCUGCCUCCCGUAGGAGUCUGGGCCGUGUCUCAGUCCCAGUGUGGCUGAUCAUCCUCUCAGACCAGCUACGGAUCGUCGCCUUGGUGAGCCGUUACCUCACCAACCAGCUAAUCCGACAUAGGCUCAUCCGAUAGCGCGAGGCCCGAAGGUCCCCCGCUUUCCCCCGUAGGGCGUAUGCGGUAUUAGCCUGGGUUUCCCCAGGUUAUCCCCACUACCGGGCAGAUUCCUAUGCAUUACUCACCCGUCCGCCGCUCGCCACCAGGGAGCAAGCUCCCCGUGCUGCCGCUCGACUUGCAUGUGUUAGGCCUGCCGCCAGCGUUCAAUCU